rnacentral:lncRNA from 1 species
UCAUCGCUUGCAAACCAGCCGUGGAGCGCCACCACAACGUCAAAAGAGAGUCGAGCACCGCCGCGGGAGUGCUCCAUCUACGUCAUUGUUCUGGUCGAGAAAAAGGGCAUAGAAGCUUCGUUAUUGCAUGUGGAAGCUAGGUGGGGCAUCGUCAAGCGAAGGCUCGGUCGACUUUGGCCGGAAUUGCUCAUCGACGUUCCUAACCCACCGCCGACCGCUCCCCAUCGUGGCCGGUAUUCUCGGCUACUCCAAGCGCUUGGUAAGACCCUCGAAUGGUUUCACCUCUUCCUCAUCUCCAAAUAGCACUGUUUAGGCUGAAGAUUGGGGCGCUGGGCACCGGACUAUGGGCCUCCGAUAGGUUCUGCGCGGUGGUGGUGGGCGGCGCCGCGGCGAGCGUGUUCAAGCGUGGGGUCUGUAGGGGGUGGAACCCUAGCCGUUGAUCGGCCGAAGUUUGGUCGUGAUUAUGUUAUAAUACCCUUUUGGCUGGUGGGAUCUUGGCCGUGCGUUAUUGAUCGAACAGAGCCUUGGCGAUCUCAGUUAUUUAAAUCCAUGCCCUUGAUAUUAGAUCUAAGGGCUACUGAUGCGUACCGAUUCAGAUGGGUACUGAUUUAGUCAUGGGCGCACGAUUUUGAUCCUACGGCUCAUGUGCAUAGAUUUCCCUUUGGCUUGGCCAAAAUUGCAAAAGAACACCCGAGAUAGUUCCUAACCAACCCGUCGUCCUGUUUUUGCACCCGAGCCCCCAAAAUUAACUUUUAAAAAUACAGAGCGGUCCUUAGACUUUACAAAAAAACCCUGGAAGCUAUUUUGGCAUCAAAAUUAAUAACAAAAACACCCCAAACUUGUUUAGCUCAUGAAGUUCUCGUUUUAACUCCGUUUUAACCCAUUCAAAUUGCGUUAGCUUCGCAAUAAUAUUCCCUAUGCUAUAGUAGCAUUAUUUUUACCAAGUAACAUAUUUUCGAAAAUAGGUAUUUGUUUAACCUAAGCUAGUAGGUUAACUUUUCUAAUCAAAGUUAUUAUGUCCAUAAUUAUAAGUUGACUAAAAUAUGAUUUCUAAUUAAGUUAUAACUUAUAUUAAGGUGGAAUUAGUUAUUUAUUUAGAAUAUCUUUUCCACGUUAUUUGUAAUAAUAGUUUUAUUGCUUAAUCACCUAAACCACGAGAAAACCAUAUCUUUUCCACCGUACCUCCGUUUUUGGUGAUUCUCGAGCCUGCAAUCUCGUAGUGACGCGUAUUGUCGGGGACCAUAAUUAGGGGUACCCUCAAGACUCCUAAUUCUCAGCUGGUAACCCCCAUCAGCAUAAAGCUGCUAAGGCCUGAUGGGUGCGAUUAAGUCAGGGAUCAGUCCAUUCGAGCGACUCGAUCACGCCUCGUCCGAGCCUAGCCUCGGACAAGGGCAGCCGACCCCGGAGGAUUUCCGUCUCGCCCGAGGCCCCCCCCCCUCCGACGGCGAACAUAUCUCCGGCUCGCUCGAGGCCCUGCCUUCGCUAAGAAGCAACCCUGACUAAAUCGCCGCACCGACCGACCAAGUCGCAGGAGCAUUUAAUGCAAAGGUAGCCUGACACCUUUAUCCUGACGCGCGCCCUCCGGCAGAGCCGAAGCGACCGUCGUCACUUCGCCGCUCCACUGACCGGCCUGACAGAAG